CCAUUCAACCAUUUUUACAUAUUCAGAUGUCCUUAAUCAGUGAGGAACUGCCAUUUAGUAACUGAUCGCAAAUUAUAUACCAUCACAAUAGGAUAUUAUAGUUCCUUUAUAGACUUUCAUUGCAUCACUUCAAUUUUCUGACUCCUUCCUUUAAAGGCUGUUUCUCUGAACUUCUGUGGCUCUGUAAAAAUACUUACUUAUCUCACUAUUUUAUUCUAACAUACAGAAAUGCUUCAAAAAUUGCCUACUGACUCUUCAUUGGCAGGUAAUAUAACUUCAUAGGAAACAAGUCAUGCUAGAUAAUAUUGGGGCUUGGAUUUCUAUUUGUUUACAAGAAACUCAUCUCUGAUCUACAUCUGUGUCUAUUUCAUCAUAUUAGACGAGGGUCUCAUAUUUGUGUUUAAAAAUCUUGUGCAAUCUUAAAAUGGAAAUGUUUAUUUCUAAAAACCCAUUUUUCUUUCCAGGAGGAUAUAAAAGGGUCUUUAACCCAUAAAUAUAACAUUCAUGCUUAACUUGUCAAUCAAAAAUAGCUCCACUUCAAUCAAAAUAGUGAAAUUUAAAUAUGUGUGUACGCACACACACACACACACUAUAUAUAUAUAGAGAGAGAGAGAGAGAGAAUUGAAACUCCUCUGGUACUACAGGCUUUUUGGUGAGCCAGAGGUACUCAGACAUUUUUUUUUAACUGAAAGUACUGAAGGACUUAAUUUGGGCAAAAAUACAUUAAAAUCCCACAGAUAAAGCAGAACAGAAAAAAAGCUUUGGGUGUUAGCAGCAGUGAAAAUUCUGCCACCUGUUACACAAGAGAAACUCCUUUGACUGCAGCAGAGUUGGAGAGGUAUACCUUAAUGAGGGGCAAUAAUGGCACGUUGCCAACUACACCAACGAAAACCAUAACGUCGUGGUUUUGGACUUGGCAAGGCAGAUGAAGGAGGAGGUGAUUUUCAAAAUCUUAGUUUUAAAAUGGAAAUAUUCUUCUCAUGUUAUGUCUACUCCAUAUAUGCAGUAUUCUGUUACUUAUUGCGGAUUAUAAUAGGAAAAUCUUCUUUUAAUUAAGAACUUCAGCAGCUCACCUUUAACUGCCAAUCAUUGGAUAAUUGGCCCUUUUCUAAUAGGCACUGCAGCUCAGGUAUGCUAAAGUGACUGUUUCUCAGAAUAACUUAGUGAUAGUAAGUUA
rnacentral:lncRNA from 1 species